CUAAUUUAAGCUAUUUUUUUGGGUCAAAUAUAUAAAAUUUCUUGUACUUUCAGUAGUCAGGGUUGAUGAAUUUUACUACAAACAAAAAUAAUUCUAAAUUUCUCGUCACUUUUUUCCCAUUGAUACAUUCUUUCUGUUUUCUUUUUCAGGAUAAUUACCACUUUUUUCUCCUCUUUGGGCGUGCUCGCUGAACUAGCUUUAUUUGUGAA
rnacentral:misc_RNA from 1 species